UCCUCGAUGGUCUAACGGUAAUGAUUUCCGCUUGUCACUCCCAAAAGGAACAAGCGCGGGAGACCUGGGUUCGACUCCCAGUCGGGGAG
rnacentral:tRNA from 1 species